GACAGAGGGGGCUAGCGUUGUUCGGAAUUACUGGGCGUAAAGCGCACGUAGGCGGCCACUCAAGUCAGAGGUGAAAGCCCAGGGCUCAACCGUGGAAUUGCCUUUGAAACUAGGUGGCUUGAACAUAGGAGAGGCGAGUGGAAUUCCGAGUGUAGAGGUGAAAUUCGUAGAUAUUCGGAAGAACACCAGUGGCGAAGGCGACUCGCUGGACUAUUGUUGACGCUGAGGUGCGAAAGCGUGGGGAGCAAACAGG
rnacentral:rRNA from 1 species